UACGUAGGGUCCGAGCGUUGUCCGGAAUUAUUGGGCGUAAAGAGCUCGUAGGCGGUUUGUCGCGUCUGCUGUGAAAUCCCGAGGCUCAACCUCGGGUCUGCAGUGGGUACGGGCAGACUGGAGUGCGGUAGGGGAGAAUGGAAUUCCUGGUGUAGCGGUGGAAUGCGCAGAUAUCAGGAGGAACACCGAUGGCGAAGGCAGUUCUCUGGGCCGUAACUGGCGCUGAGGAGCGAAAGCGUGGGGAGCGAACAGG
rnacentral:rRNA from 1 species